GCCCUUCGCGGCCUAUCAGCUUGUUGGUGAGGUAAUGGCUCACCAAGGCGACGACGGGUAGCCGGCCUGAGAGGGCGACCGGCCGCACUGGGACUGAGACACGGCCCAGACUCCUACGGGAGGCAGCAGUGGGGAAUAUUGCACAAUGGGCGAAAGCCUGAUGCAGCGACGCCGCGUGAGGGAUGACGGCCUUCGGGUUGUAAACCUCUUUCAGCAGGGAAGAAGCGAAAGUGACGGUACCUGCAGAAGAAGCGCCGGCUAACUACGUGCCAGCAGCCGCGGUAAUACGUAGGGCGCAAGCGUUGUCCGGAAUUAUUGGGCGUAAAGAGCUCGUAGGCGGCUUGUCACGUCGGGUGUGAAAGCCCGGGGCUUAACCCCGGGUCUGCAUUCGAUACGGGCUAGCUAGAGUGUGGUAGGGGAGAUCGGAAUUCCUGGUGUAGCGGUGAAAUGCGCAGAUAUCAGGAGGAACACCGGUGGCGAAGGCGGAUCUCUGGGCCAUUACUGACGCUGAGGAGCGAAAGCGUGGGGAGCGAACAGGAUUAGAUACCCUGGUAGUCCACGCCGUAAACGGUGGGAACUAGGUGUUGGCGACAUUCCACGUCGUCGGUGCCGCAGCUAACGCAUUAAGUUCCCCGCCUGGGGAGUACGGAAGGGCA
rnacentral:rRNA from 1 species